AGACGUAGGGUGCAAGCGUUGUCCGGAGUUACUGGGCUUAAAGGGUGCGUAGGCGGCGAGUUAGGUUCAUGAUGAAAGUCUACGGCUCAACCGUAGGUAUGUUGUGAAAACUGGCUUGCUGGAGUAUGUUGUAAGCAGUUGGAAUAUGCGGUGUAGCGGUGAAAUGCGUAGAUAUCGUAUGGAAGGUCGAUAGCGAAGGCAGGCUGCUAUGACAUAACUGACGCUGAUGCACGAAAGCGUGGGGAGCGAACAGGAUUAGAAACCCUAGUAGUCC
rnacentral:rRNA from 1 species